rnacentral:rRNA from 1 species
CAAAGGUAGCAUAAUCAUUAGGGGUUUAAUUGGAACCUGGUAUGAAGGGUCGGACAAAGGAAAAACUGUCUUUUUGAUAUAAAUUGAAAUUUACUUUUAAGUGAAAAGGCUUAAAUUAAUCAAAGGGACGAUAAGACCCUAUAAAGCUUUAUAAAUAACUUAAAUUUAGUUGAUUUUAUUGUUAAAAAUUAAAUUUAACUAUUUUAUUUUGUUGGGGUGAUAUGAGUAUAAGUUAUAUUAACUGCUUAAGAAAAAUUCUAUUAUAAGAGAGUUUAUAAGUUACAUGAUCCUUUGUAAAGAUUAAAAGACUAAGUUACUUUAGGGAUAACAGCGUUAUUUCUUUUGAGAGUUCAUAUCGAAAAAGAAGAUUGCGACCUCGAUGUUGAAUUAAAAUAUCUAUAUAAUGCAGUUGUUAUAAAAGAGGGUCUGUUCGACCUUUAAAGUUUUACAUGAUUUGAGUU